UACGUAGGUGACCAGCGUUGUCCGGAUUUACUGGGCGUAAAGAGCGCGCAGGCGGUCGUUCAAGUCGAGUGUGAAAGCCCACGGCUCAACUGGGGAGGGUCACUCGAUACUGAUCGACUUGAAGGCAGGAGAGGGAAGCGGAAUUCCCGGUGUAGUGGUGAAAUGCGUAGAUAUCGGGAGGAACACCAGUGGCGAAGGCGGCUUCCUGGCCUGUUCUUGACGCUGAGGCGCGAAAGCUAGGGGAGCAAACGGG
rnacentral:rRNA from 1 species